AAGGCAACGUUUUUCUCAAAUAUGUUGAAUUGUUGUUAAUAGGAGAAUUGGAAAUUUGAUUAACAAAAGGUACUAGGUAAUUAAUGGCUAAUUGGAAGACGAUAUUUAAGUUUGGUUUCCCAGUCUGUCUUUUCCAGUAUCCAGCAGUGACCCUGAAACUCGAUCCCGAGACUCCACCGACAGCUGAGAACAACAAGAAAACGGUGCAUGGCUCUGAGGCACCUUUGACCUUUUGCAAGAGCAAAGAAGGACUAUAUUUGUGCUUGGGGGGAGCACAACGCUCCGGAGGAAAACGACAUCCUCUGAGGCGAGAGGGAAGAAACUUACAAGAUGUGAAUGGACUCAGUUGAAAAUGGACUCAUCCGAGAGUGAGGAAUGAGUUGGCUCUGUGGCUACAACUAAAGACAACAACUUGACAAUGAGGUGCGGCGAAAGACCCAUGAGACAUGAAAUGUGCAACAAGCGAACUGGACUCCUUGCUGGGGCGUAAUCAAUACUUGGUGGGGCUUGGGUCAAAGUGAAUGGAAGCUUGCUUGGGCACUGAACUUGACACAACUGAGGAGUCUUGAUAAAAGAUAAAUAAAUAAAUCAGGAACAAAAGGUGUAGUGUUACAGAAAAAGUAAAAGCAUCAUAAUCAGAGGAUAAAUUUGGAUAAAACAGAUAGGCUAAAUUGUAUGAAAUAAGAGUAGGAUCACAUUUAGUCCAUCCAGCUUAACAAUUAGACAUAGAGUCAUUGACAAAUUGGAGAUGAAAAUAGGACAUUAGGACCCAAUAGGAUGCAGUCAAGAGGUGGCUAGAUUGUACAAUGGACCUGAUUAUUAUUAAUUAAUAAAAUUAGAAGUUAAUUACACCUCACGGGGAAUUCUGGUGUCAGAAAGUCCGAUAAGUUCAAGGAAUAACAGCCAUGGAAACUUUUGACAGUUAAGAAUAAUGCGGCAUAAGAGUCACACAAAAUGACAGUUAACGAGAUGACAAACGUGAUAGGACUCAAAUAACAAAUGCAUUGACAAGGCAAAGUGAAAACACCAUAGGGGAGUAGACUGUCGGAGGGACCCUUUCGAGUAUCUUUACCCAGCGAUUCGAUCAGAAUGAUUGAUUAGGAUAAAAUUAUUUAAGGACCAUCUGAGGCUGCUUCUUUCCCCAUGCUCACCCUUGGACAGGCUCAGUAGUAGAAAUAACUAAAUUUUUUAGGAAUUUAAUUGACAGUUUUACGGUAAAAGUGAGGUACGAUUGUAUGAAAUAUUUAAUCGAGAAGAACAUCCAGAAAUGAAGUGUUACCUUCAAUAUUCACUGAUUGCCUACUCACUUACACAUACUAAAUUUGUUUGGUGUGGAAUGAGAGCUGAGCGAUGAAGGUGACUGAAUUGGCACUUGUGUGGUUAAGAAUGUGUAUGUGUGUCUGGGACAGGGUGAAAGGCCAAAGUAUUUUGGAGUUGGGGUGAAAGGGUCACAGUUAAGGGUAAGAUUCCUCUCACAUGAGACUGGAACACCCAAGUUUGAUGAGUGAUGAGUUGUAACCUUAACCAACAGCUGAUGGUUAAUCAGAGGCACCAUGAACAACAAAAUAGUUCAUGGAGAAGGCCCAUUUCAGCAACACGAAUGGACAAGACAGGACUAAUAUCAAACACUAGGACAAUGGACGAUAUGACGUGACAGACUUGGACUCACCCGACGGGAUGACUGACUAUGUGGAUGACAACUAAACAUUUGAAACUUAAGCUUGCUUGUGGCAAGUGCAAGCUUUGCUUUGUUUAUGUGCGUCACUUGACUUAUUGCAGCAUCAACCACCAGCCAAGGAGCAGAUUGCUGGCUGUUUUAUAACUUGUAUUACUUUUGCAGGUUGGCGAUUGCAGUCUUGGAGAGUUUAUAUUGAAUUCACGUGAAAAUGUUAACCCUAACCCUUUUGAUUUUUGUGAUGAUUGAGGAUUUUCAGGACGGAAUCCCCGGGCGCCAUGAUUCUUUGUGUGUCUAUGUUUAUUUUGAUACUCGACGCCUGUGUACUUUUUGUGAGCACAAGGGUCCGCUGUCAGCAGGGCUGUAUGCUCACUGGCAGGUGUGCGAUGAUUGUUGUUUUGUUGCCGAGUGUGGGGUGAACAGUCAAUUUUCAGGAACUUGGGGAUGACUGUUCUGGAUGAGUGAAAGGUUCGACAAACUGGCUGCAGGACGUAUGAUGAUGCGGUAGGACGUUUUGCCGGUUCCUUUUUGAAUGCCUGAUGACACAUUGAGUGAAUGUGUCAGAGGGGGGAGUUACAUUUAAAUGAAACGUGCCAGAAUUCAACAGGCAGUGAUGGAAGGAGCAGAAGAAGCAGCUCGAAAGGAAAGGAGUUACUGGGAGACAACAAUCUGGAAUGGAUGCAAAGCGUGGUAACAAUCUAGCGACAGUAACGGUUAAAGUGUUUCAACGGAAAAGCACGAAUGAUGACAACUCAUACAGCUAAUAGGGAUUAGACUGCAGCGCAAUAGAAAACAAUUGUUUGGAAGGUAAUUAAAUAAAAUAGGAAACUGGACCAAAAACAAGCAAUAGGGUUAAUUUCUUAACAUAUGAAUGCAUUAAAGCUGAUAAUGAAGGGAAAGUAUUUAAGAACGCAUUGUAAGAGGGUUAUUUGCAUAACAAAUGUUGAAAAGAGUCGGAUAGUUAAAUCAUUUUGGGAAGAUUACAGGUUCAUUCAAAAGGGCGACUGAUUUGAACAGUAAGAUGACUUGAAGGGGAGACAAAGAUAAUGUACAUAAACAAAUUGGGUGAACAAAACUGACAGGACUGAUGCCCAUUUGAGAAUACUGAGAAAAAUUGGAAUCAAACAGGAAAAUUUGGAGUAAAAAUUAAGAUUUGAACUGGGAAAAGCAAUUGCAAAGACUGAUUGACAGGACUUCAGAAAGGGACAGCUGCAGCAGGAAAGACUAACUUGAACAGGCAGAAGUUACUCUGCUACAGGAGGGAUCUUGCGAGACUGACAACACAACGAGAAAUAAGGAGGUUUGUUCAUAACUCCUAGGGGGAGUGUUUGUUUGUUUGUUUGUUUGUUUGUUUGUUUGUUUGUUUGUUUCAGGAAUCACGUGGGCCUCUGGAUCAUAGGAGUAGAUGCCGAGAACGCCUCGGAGGUUCUACUGAGCACUUCGAUGAGACGACCACCACCAGUCGUCCCCGUGCCCCAAUCAACCCCAAAAGAGAAGAUUUAGUUUGCAGACGACUGGUUAUGGAGAUGUCGUCUACUGGGGGUGACCAAAGGGGGCCGGGAGGACUUCCGGCCUACGCUGGGCAUAGCUGUUUUUUUUUCCAUUGCAAUUCAAGGUUUUGUGCUGUUGUCAUCGUUAAAUACUGGCAGUGGCUUCCGAUCAUUGCAGACCCCGUGGACGCUGACCGGGGCCUGGAAAGAGACUCUGAGGACGGUGAAGUGGACAAAGUGUUAGAAUAAUUAGUUUUGCUGAAGCGCUGGUCGGCCUGGAACCGAAGGUCACAUAUCUUCGCUCAAGUCAACAUAUGUGCCGGCUAGCCUUGGGGAGUCCUUAUACUCCCUUUCCUUGUCUUAUCUUUGAGAGGCCCUCACAAGUUAGAAACAGAACAUCUUUGUUCUUUGUUUCUUGUUAGUUCAAGAGAAGUCCUCUCUCUGUUAAUUGCUUUGUCCGAGACAGUGUUUAGUUAUCCCAUAUUUACUCAAUGUUUGUUUAAGUAGACUUCAUGCAAGUUAUCUCACAUCUACUUAACCUUUGUUAGAGUGUUUGCACGAGAGGUAUCUGAUUAUUUACUUAUUAUUAUUAUUAUUGUGUGAAAUGUAGCAAGAAAGUCUAGAGCAUUGUUUUACAGAGACACGGCAUCCAGGUUUAGAGAUUGCACCCAGGAACAAGGAUGCCAACCAUCUAAGAACAGACUCUGCAUUCCUGGGGUCACAGAUCGGCCAAGGCCAUGCGGCCUCGCACCACACAACAUUAUUAGUUAGCUGAAACAGCGUUGCUACAGACACACUCUCCCCUCCCUUUAGUGUAGCAACGCCUCUUGUAACCAGGGCAACCCAAUAUAAAAAGAGGAGAUGACGGUAGGGCAGGUCAGAAUUGGUGGAGGACUGUGAACUGGGCCUUCUACCUAAUUCUCCUCGCGAGCAAAAGAA